GACAGAGGGUGCAAACGUUGCUCGGAAUCACUGGGCGUAAAGGGCGUGUAGGCGGGAAGGAAAGUCAGGUGUGAAAUCCCUGGGCUCAACCCAGGAACUGCAUUUGAAACUCCCUUUCUUGAGUGUCGGAGAGGAAAGCGGAAUUCCUGGUGUAGAGGUGAAAUUCGUAGAUAUCAGGAGGAACACCGGUGGCGAAGGCGGCUUCUGGACGACAACUGACGCUGAGACGCGAAAGCGUGGGGAGCAAACAGG
rnacentral:rRNA from 1 species